UUAAAUGAAACCAAACGAUCUAUAUUUUCUAGAGUCUGUGGUCUAAUCAAACUAUUUAAAGGAAUAUAAAUUAUUCGCGUUUUGGGUCUAAUGUGUUAAUUUUUUUAUUCAAUACGUUACAGUGUAGGUCGUGAUUUAUUAAUUUUGGUAGCCCAUGUGGUUUUAGAAAAAUUAUGAAGAGUAUUAGAGAUCCGUUGCGUAGUCUUCCUGGUAGAAGUCAAAAAUGAUGCACUGGAGCGCCGUGGCCCCGAAGUUGGCUCGCGGCGGCGGGAUCGUCUGGGUGUCGACCGACUACACACAACACACAUAUUACUAGCUAUUCCAAAGUAUUUGUGGGCAAGCAUGCAAGGCGACCGCGCGUCUCUAAACUCCCGACAUUGAAGUACAUUCGGGAAGACAGUUUUACAAAAUCAAAGGACUGUUUAGUGUGUGUUUUGUUCUAGUUAGUAGCUGUUAUGAAGAUUGUAAAAUAACGUGUAUUCAACCUAGUGGUCAGAGCACCGGUGCAAGCUGGCGGCUGAAGGUGACCGGGGGGGCGGGUUGCUGAUCCCUGCCAGAGAGCCUGAUGACAGCGGCAUCGACAGCGACGACGCCGUGAGGAGGCUCAUCCUUGCUCAUCAGAGACUACCGUUCAGUGACGAGAGCAGCAGUGAUGAUGAGUUGCAGAUCCCUUCACCUACCACGAACAGACACAGGAACGAGCGACGAGCUAGUCUGAAAACAGAAGAAGACCACGACCUAGUCAUCAUGCAGUGGCCACAAGAUCAGUUCACCAAAGACCAAAGCGUUACCAGGGAGACCAGCCCCGACCGGUCUUCCCCUCCUCUCUACGAAGUGGAACUGACAGCUUCAGACGAAGACGAUGACGCUUCGGUCUUAGAGCUCGUCAUACCAAUGCACUCUUCAAGGUACCAGAGGGUCCCGACUUCUUCGCCAAAGAAAUCUAAGCCAAAAGUAGUGAAAAGGUAUUUUUGCAGCAUGAUCUGUUGUGGUCGUAAGUAAGUAUUUUGAUCUUAAUGUUAAUAAAAACUUUUUUGUCUAUGAUGUAAGAUGGAAGUUUGGUUAAGAGUUCGAUUUUCAUCUUGUUGUUAUUAUAUGUGAUUGGUGAGGAGUAUUUUUUUAAGAACUGUAUUCAAAAUAAAUUUUUAUAGCGGUUGAAAGUGCUUUGAAAUAAAGAUGAAGCAUUUGCCAAAAUAUUAACCUCUGUGGUUCCAAAGGGAUCCACAGCUCCUCCCCUGGUGUAUCUCUUUAAGGUUUAUGCAUGAAAUAGUUUUUGUUUAGAUCUUUACAUAAAUAUGGUUUGUUCGACAACCUCCUUACACUAGCUUCCUGAAAAUACAUGUAAACAAUACUCCUCAUCGGUUGAUUAGUAGGUAAUAAUAACCAAUUAAUAUUAUAUUUUGUAUUUAAAUUAUUUUUUACACAAUUAUUGCCUAAUUAUUUUAAGUAAGUGUUACUCUUAUGUAGGUCACAAAAUCGUCAAAAUGUCAGGCCUGGAUUUUAUGUGUAUUUUGCCAUCGCUUGACGAAAUAAUGAGAUGGCCUCAAGUUUUUAUGUACAAAGUAUUGGAAGAAAGGUGGUCAACCAGCUACAUCCAAAGUUAAUAAAAAUAUUAGUGAAGUGGAAAUAUUAGAAACCCCGAUAUUUUAAAAAAAUAUUUGGACUGAUAAGACACUAAACAUGUAUAGUUGCCAAAAAUGUAUGGAAACAUUGGAAAUAUACAUAAAAAACAAACAGUGCCAUGUAAAAACGUUGUCAAUUUUAUAAUUUCAUUAUUGAAUAAAAGAUUGAUUGAGUGAGAAUAUUUUGGUCAAUUAAAUGUUCAAGUAGUAAAAAAAAUAUUUUGAUCACAAUAAUGUGAAAAAAUGCACAAUGUUGUAUUAGUUUUAGUUCCUUUUCUAAACUAAGUAUAUUAUUAUUAACUAGUUAAUAUUUAUGAUUAACAUAAGCCUAAUUUUGCCGAAUUGAAAACCCAUUUAAAAUGGUACUGAAAUGUUUUAUUUUUAAGUUUAAACAUGACGAAAAAUUUAUGAUUAUAAACAUCAAUAAAGUUUAUGAGCAGUAAAA